AUGCAUCUGUUAAAGCUACCACCACAUCCUUUUGCAAGUCUGUUUAUUACCGCUUUAUCCAAAUACAUACUGUGGGCAAGAUGCACACAGUGCUAUGAAUACAGUACUUUAAGAAUCUCCAUUCAACAUAUCAGAAUAUGUCCAGCCACAUCUAUGUACAACCCCUGAAUAUGUAUUUUCCUUAACACACGAGAGCCUGUUCAAUUAAAAAAAAAAAAAAAAGAAAAGAAAAGAAAAUCUCGCUGGGUCUGUCUUUGUUUUUAGGAUUAUUAAGUGGUGGGAGAGUUGGGUCUUUUUCCAGUUGCUACCUAGUUCAUUUGCAGGAAAAGAUGGCGCUUCUGUCCCUUCUAGGUGGGCCGCUGCCAUCACAUCCCUCAGCCACCUGGAUUAUUUCCAAUGCUAUUUUUAGAUUAAUGAAUUGCUUUCUCCUUCAAAGGAGUACAAAACAAAGAAAUGAGAGGCUUGGAUUUCCACCCUCCCCAUAAAUGCUCUGCUAAAGGAUCUGUCCCGCCUACUUUGCAACAUCCUCCUAGUGGUCUUGUCAACUUAUCCUCAAACCAUGACAAUCUAAGCUCCUUCAGAUGGUGGCAGGCUUCGCUAGCAGCUUGGGUUUUCACCCAGUCCCACUUGGGUAUAAUUUUAACCCUGGUUUUGGAGACUUUUUUAAAAACCAGAAAACUGACUAAAGAGAACAAGAAACAUGCUUUCGUCAUGAACUACAUUGCUCCGUUUGUAAUGGGGAGAUUGUGAAUGUCAAAUCUUUCCUGCCAAAAGCCUUGAGUUAGGUGGUUGUCACUUUUCUGGCUAACCAAUCAUUUUGGAAAUAAAGAUUUUUCUUACUAUGAGUGAACUCUGACUGGACUUCCACCCUGGCGAGUAACAACUUGCCACGUAAAGAAAACUAGAGCCAGGCGUGGCAGUGUGCACUCAAUCAAAGAAAAUUUUAAUUGUAUAUAUAUUUUACACCAACCCCAAACCAGCUGUAAUCUGGUCAAACCCACAUUGUAAGAUGUUUCCCAAUCAGAUAUUGAGUCAAUUUCCUAUCACCAUGCCAAUGUGUUUUAUCAGAGGGCAAUCUACUGAAGCUACUGAGACUAAAACCUGGCCUCCUUCCCCCCUGAAGUGAAAAGGUUAAAAGACUCUGUGCUGUGCUUUCUUUGCAAGGUCUGCCUGCAAGCAGCAGAACGGGCACACUUUCUUGGAUGCCUUCUGCACUCUGGAAACCCAUCACAACCCGUCUAUUGUAUCAAUACAUAAACAUUCUCUCUGUC
rnacentral:lncRNA from 1 species